UGACCAUAAGAUUAAUAAGUUCAAUUCUUUGUUGGAGUAAUCAUUUGUUUUAGAUUAAGAAACUCUUUGAACACAUAACCAUAAUCCAAGAGGUAGGUGCCAUAUGCACUUUAAAAACAUCCUCGACUGCAUUAGUAUCACUGAGGAAAGACACUAAAAGAGUCGAUGAACAUAACAUGGUGGAGAAGAUCAGAUGCCAUGAGCGGAGGGAGCUAAGGAGGUGUCCUAUGCCCUCUCUCUCACUCCCCCUCUCACUUUUCUUAGCCUAAUUAUAUAUCUCUUAUCCAAAUUUCAAAGUUCCCUUUUUCUUUUUAUGUUUUUCUUCUCUCUCUUUUUCACACUAUUACUACCCCUUCUAAAUAUCUUUUAUUAUCUUUUUUUGGCUCUAAAUUUUAUAAUAAUAAACUACAAUUCAAAUUUUCUUAGUACGUAUAUUUAACAAAAUACAUUUAAUUUGAAUCAAUAUUUUUUGCUCGUAUUAAUGAUCAAUAGAUAAGUAAUGUGAUAUAUAAAAUAAUAGAGUAUAGUAAUUAAAUUUAGAGAUUUUAUAUCAAGCAAAAAAUUAAUUCAAAUGUCACCAUCGUAAAGAAAUAUAUUUCAAUAUUUAAGAUGCCCCUUAUGUACGAAGUUUUUGACUCUGUCGCAGACGCCGAAACAAAGCCGCAAGGAAUAGAUACAGGAACGGCAUAUUAAGAAAAAGUAAAGAAACCAGCACAAAAACAAAACUGCCGACACCACCGUUGAGAAGACAGAGACAUAGUGUAGAGGGGCUCAUGAAAACGCCCCUGCCAUGACAAUCCCAGAAUAGUAGUAUCAUGGAUGGACCCCCUUGUGUGGUUGUCGAAGGCCAGCCACC
rnacentral:lncRNA from 1 species